rnacentral:rRNA from 1 species
UACGUAGGGGGCUAGCGUUGUCCGGAAUCAUUGGGCGUAAAGCGCGUGUAGGCGGUCCGGUAAGUCCGCUGUGAAAGUCGGGGGCUCAACCCUCGGAUGCCGGUGGAUACUGUCGGACUCGAGUACGGGAGAGGCGAGUGGAAUUCCUGGUGUAGCGGUGAAAUGCGCAGAUAUCAGGAGGAACACCAAUUGCGAAGGCAGCUCGCUGGAACGUUACUGACGCUGAGGCACGAAAGCGUGGGGAGCGAACCGG